rnacentral:rRNA from 1 species
UACAGAGGUCCCAAGCGUUGUUCGGAUUUACUGGGCGUAAAGGGUGCGUAGGUGGCGGUGUAAGUCGGAUGUGAAAUCUCCGAGCUCAACUCGGAAACUGCAUUGGAAACUACAUUGCUCGAGGGUUGGAGGGGGGACUGGAAUACUUGGUGUAGCAGUGAAAUGCGUAGAUAUCAAGUGGAACACCAGUGGCGAAGGCGAGUCCCUGGACAACUCCUGACACUGAGGCACGAAAGCUAGGGGAGCAAACAGG